rnacentral:rRNA from 1 species
UACGGGGGGGGCAGCAGUGUUCGGAUUACUGGGCGUAAAGGGCGCGUAGGCGGCCUCUGCAAGUCGACUGUGAAAUCUCCGGGCUUAACCCGGAAAGGUCAGCCGAUACUGCGGGGCUAGAGUGCAGAAGGGGCAACUGGAAUUCUCGGUGUAGCGGUGAAAUGCGUAGAUAUCGAGAGGAACACCUGCGGCGAAGGCGGGUUGCUGGGCUGACACGUGACGCUGAGGCGCGAAAGCUAGGGGAGCGAACGGG